rnacentral:lncRNA from 1 species
ACCUCAAGUUAUCUGCCUGCCUCGGCCUCCCAAACUGUUGGAAUUACAGGCGUGAACCACCAUGCCUGGCCAGCUCUAUUUCUUUAAGCCUACAUGUUUUGCACUUGUUAAAAGUAUUUGAACAUACAAUUACUCAGCUUCCCUUGUUUACGCGUGAAUUUUGUAGAAUCUUAAAUAUUUUUUCCAAUCUAAGCUUUAUUUUAUCCCGUUUCUUCUAUAUUUGUAUAACUUUAGGCGGCUAUCUUCAUUGAAAGUUUUUUCUCAAAAGCCUUAAGAUAGAACGUAGUUCUUGGCAGCAAUUUGAAAGUUAUUUGAGGAGAAGGGGAGACUUACAAUGAUGAUUCAAAUGAAGGAAACUAAAAAGUAAUGAAGCAAGGCAGAGGAAAAAGCAGUACUCACUUGAGCACAUCCCAAAAGAAAAACAUUUCAAAUGUAACUAGAAAAAAAUAUGCUGAAGUUCGCAAUACAGAAAUAAUUAUUAAUAAGAUAGCUUUAAAGCCCUGCUCAGCUUUUGAAUGUUGGGAAUUGACCCAGAGGUGGCUGUAACCUAAGAUGGUUCCUUCAGUAAUGACCAUUUUUUCUUUUUCAAGAUGAUGAUUAUUCCCCACCUUCUAAGAGACAAAGACCAACGAGCCACCACAGCCACCAGUCCCAGAACCCGCCAAUGCUGGGGAACGGAAAAUGAGGGAGUUCAACUCUGGCCCUCACAAUCCAGUGGAGGAGACGAAACUCAUCUGCCUCUGUCCCUCUGGGCACGCCUCAUGCCAGGUGCAUCUGUGGACAGGGGCCAUGCUCCUGGGCUUCCAAAGUUGGAGAAAGCUGCCAGGCUCAGAGCCACCUAAGCUGAAGAUUCCCUUGAGAACAAGUACUGUCCCUAGUUUCCCAGUGCUGGAAUAUAGAAAAUGGAUGGACAAGUAAAUCCCACUCAGCACCCAUAGUCCAGGCAUGGGGACCUCAACACACCUGAGCCCCAGACAUCACCUUUCAUUCUGGACCUACCAUGAAAGACUUCUGAAUCCAGGAAGAGAAACUGACUGGGCAACAUGUUAUUCAAAAACAGGACCUUGCCCUGUCACUAGGAUGGAGUUCAGUGGUCCUAUCAUGGCUCAUUAUAGCCUCAAACUCCCAGGCUCAAGCAAUCCUACCAUGUCAGCCUUCCCAGUAGCUGGGACUACAGGAAGUGAGCUCACAAUGACUCAAGCUGCCACAUACUGUUGAUUGUGAAAUGCCAGUUGAAGCAUAUGUCCUGCGAGCUUAGGGGUGCUACAAGUUGACCACUGCAGCAGUAAAGAUGACUCUGAAGAAUGGCGUGGGAUGGUUCCUUUCAAAUGCACUUGAGCAGCGGUCUCCAACCACAGGGCCACAGAGCUGGAGGUGAGCAGCAGGUGGACAGUCUAGUUGCAGGAAAACAAGCUCAGAGAUCCCACUGAGUCUACGUUAUACUGGAUCUACCAUGAAAGACUUGUGAAUCCAGGAAGAGAGACUGACUGGGCAACAUGUUAUUCAGGUGGGACCAUCCAGUUGCAGGAAAACAAGCUUAACACGCCCACUGAUUCUACAUUAUGCUCCUACCUCCCGGCAGCCUCUCCAGGCCCAGAACUUUCUCCAGUCAGCCUCUACAGACCAAGCUCAUGACUCUCAAUGGCCUAUUUAGGCCCAUACCCUACGUCACGGCAGCCUCCGCAGAUGAGGCUACUGCCUCACAACAGCCUCCACGGGCACAGCUCCAUCGUUACAAUGGCCUCUUUAGACCCAGCUCCUGCCUCCCAGCCUUCUCUCCAGGCUCUGAACUUUCUCAGGUCUCCCUCUGUUGUCCAAGGCUGGAGUGUAGUAGUGCUA